rnacentral:rRNA from 1 species
AGCGAACGCUGGCGGCAGGCUUAACACAUGCAAGUCGAACGGGCAUAGCAAUAUGUCAGUGGCAGACGGGUGAGUAACGCGUGGGAACAUACCUCUUGGUUCGGAACAACACAGGGAAACUUGUGCUAAUACCGGAUAAGCCCUUACGGGAAAGAUUAUCGCCGAGAGAUUGGCCCGCGUCUGAUUAGCUAGUUGGUGUGGUAAAAGACGCACCAAGGCGACGAUCAGAGCUGGUCUGAGAGGAUGAUCAGCCACAUUGGGGACUGAGACACGGCCCAAACUACCUACGGGAGGCAGCAGUGGGGAAGUAUUGGACAAUGGGCGCAAGCCUGAUCCAGCCAUGCCGCGUGAGUGAUG